CUCCAAAUUAAUGCCAUUCUUGACAAUUGACUUGGCUGCAAUCUAAUUGGUUGGUCAAAUCUGCCAAAGAUUGUGUUUCUUGUGGAUGGUGGAGAUUUAUCUUGGUGGAUCAAUGGCUGGGAUUUAACUUGGAAAUUAAUAUGACUUUUGGAGAGAGAAAAAGGACAGCAGACUUUUUCAUUUUCUUUGGCUGAGUUACAGUUUUUUUCCCUUUUCCUCUCUCUGGCGAUUUUCUUCUCCUCUUUCUGGUUUCACUUUGAUAUACACUUCUCAGUUAAAUCCUGGUUUUAGAUUAGUCCUUGUAAUAUCAUGAUGCUACAGUAACUCGAGGCGUGAUUCUGAGCCUCUGCUAUUUUCGGUUUUGUUUACUGUUGGCUAGGGCUAAGUGUUGUGAAAAGGAUUUAUGUUUGGUUUCGUAGAUCUGUUGAUCGAUGAUCGAAACUUGUGUAUUCUGAGUGGUUUGAUGUAACUUUGGUUCUCUUGGACGGCGAUUUGCAUAGUGGAACGGGUUCAGUUCUUGAGCCCCCCAGAUUAGGCCCCGUUUGGCCGAACUGGGUCACCAACUCUGAUGUUCUAUCGGUUUUUCGAUUUUAUUUUGAGCACUUAAUUUACAGUGUUAGAUUAUAGGUUUUUUAAUCAUCAGCUUGUAUCCCAACAAACUGGUAUCAGAGCCAAGGGCUUCUGGACGUGCUUCUUUACUGAAUUUACUCUAGGUCGAAAAAAAAAAUUUUUUUUUUUGGGGAUUUCGAAUUUUUUUAAUCUGCCAUUAAUUUUUUUUAAAGAAACUGUUGAAAUUGUGUUUGGUACUAAUAAUCUGGUUUUGUGAUUCUUUGCAGUUGACUAACGGUGGACUUCUCACCUCUUGGCCACUGGUGAUUACGUUCUUGGUCUUAGGGCCAAUCCCUUUUUUUUACUGUUUUUCACAAACAGUGGUUNGGUGAGAAAUUUCCAUAAAUCCUUAUAAUUGUUGAACACUGGCGCAUGAUUUUUGAUAUAAGUAUCUAAAUGAUUGCCUUCUUGUAUGGAAAUUAUAUAUGACUUGCAUGAAUGUAUGUCUGCUUGAUGAUAUUUUAUGUUUCAAAAUUGUUUAAGACUGCAGCUUGCAAUUCUUGAUACAUAAUUACUGUCAUUGUGAUCAUUCAUUGACAUUAAUAUAAUUCUUGAUCAAAAAUCAUACUAAUCUGCCUCAAUUAUUGCAUUUUGUUAAGUGCUUUAAAUUGGAAAUUUUUUUAAAACCUUUUCUGUUAAUAGUUUGAUCUGUACAUAAGAUCACACUAUGUCCAUGAGUGCUGCCCACCCUUUUACAGAAUCUGUAAUGGGUUCGAAGGUCGAAUUGAGUCAAUUCGAUGGAAAGGGGGACUACUCUAUAUGGAAACAGAAAAUGAGGUCCAUUUUGGUCCAGCAGAGGGUUGCAAAGGCCCUUGAUGAUCCAGAUAAAUUUCCUGAUGAACUUUAAGCAAAACCAAAUGAAAUUGAAGAGAUGAACGAAAUUGCAUAUAGUUCAAUAAUUUUACAUUUAUCUGAUAACAUCGUUAGACAAGUUGAUGAGUCUAAGACUGCUAGAGAUUUAUGGACUGCUCUUGAUAAUAUGUUUCUUACUAAAACAUUACCAAAUAAAAUCUACCUUUUGGAAAAACUAUUUAGUUUCAAAAUGGACCCAGGAAAGGACUUAGAACAAAACCUAAGUGACUUUAGUAUUAUUGUGAAGAGUUUGGCACAAAAUGAUAAAAAUUUUGAUGAAGAAGAUCUUGCUGUGAUUUUACUGAAUGCAUUGCCUGAAUCACAUAAAGAUAUUAGGAAUGCUAUUAAGUACUCUAGGGAUAAGUUGACCCAAACUAUAGUGAUAGAUGCCUUAAGAGCUAGAGAACUAGAGGUAAGGAAAGAGUAUAGGUCUAACCCUAGAGACGAGAGUAUGUUCGUUAGGGGAAGACCAGAGAAGAGGGAAAUUGGAUUUCAACGUAAAAAAUCAAGAGGGAGAUCAAAAUCUCGAGACAAGAGUGAUAAAAAAUGUUACCAUUGUGGUAAGAUAGGUCACUUUAAAAGGGAUUGUUUUGACUUGAAAAAGAAACAAAAGGACCAAAACAAUGGGGAAUUAAAUAAUGCAUCUGUGGGACCUGAACUUGAUAGCUUGCAUGUAAUGACUGUAACUAGUGAUGAAACCAAUAAAGACUGGAUACUAGACUCAGGGUGUACCUUUCACAUGAGUCCCAUAAAAUCAUGGUUCUAUAACUAUAAGGAUAUAGAACCUAGGAAGGUUUAUAUGGGAGACAACAACUCUCAGGCUGUUGUUGAGAUUGGUGAUAUUGCUAUCAAAAUGCAUGAUGGUAUUAUCAGGACAUUAAGAAAUGUGAGAUAUGUACCCAACCUUAAAAGAAACCUAAUUUCAUUAGGGGUUCUUGAGGAUGAAGGUUAUGUUUUUAAAUCUGAUAAUAAGGUCCUAAAAAUUAUUAAAGGGUCAUUAAUUGUCAUGAAAGGACCUAGGAGAAAUGGGUUGUACUACCUUGAGGGUCAUACCAUGUCUGCACCUGACCCUAGUCUGCUGAAUGUAACAGAGAGUAAAUCUGAGUUGUGGCACAAUAGAAUGGGCCAUAUUGGUAAUAAAGGUUUAAAGUACCUAAGUAACCAAAAAUUACUUGGUAAGGAUGAUAUUGAACCUUUGAAUUUCUGUGAGACUUGUGUGUUGGGUAAGUCUCAUAGGGUAAGCUUUGAAACAAGUUCCUAUAGUACUAAUAGACCAUUAGACUAUGUGCAUGCAGACCUUUGGGGACCUGAAAAACAUUCUACAUUUGGGGGAAAUAAGUAUUUUUUGUCAAUAGUGGAUGAUUAUUCCAGAAAAGUUUGGAUCUACCCCUUGAAGGACAAAUCUGAAACUUUUCAGAAAUUUAAAUAUUGGCUUAAGAUAGUUGAGAAUCAAUUAGACAAGAAGUUAAAAACUUUAAGAACUGAUAAUGGUCUUGAGUUUUGUAACUUUGUUUUUGACAACUAUUGUAAGCAGAAGGGAAUAAUGAGGCAUAGAACAGUCAGGUUAACACCCCCAACAAAAUGGGGUAGCGGAGAGAAUGAAUAGGACUCUCAUGAAUUAGGUCAGGUGUAUGCUUAUUAGCUCAGGUUUAGCUAAAGGUUUCUGGGCAGAAGCAGUUAGUACAGCUGCAUACUUGAUUAAUAGGUCUCCAUCAAGUUCUGUGAAUUUUAAAACACCACAGGAACUUUGGACAGGAAGACCACCAAGUCUAACACACAUAAGGGUAUUUGGAUGUGCAGCUUAUGCACAUCAGUCUGAGGGAAAAUUAGAGCUAAGAGCUACCAAAUGUGUGAUGUUAGGCUAUCCUGAAGGUGUUAAAGGGUACAAGUUAUGGGUUUUGGGUAAACCAGGCAUAAAAAUCAUUAAUAGUAGAGAUGUAGUUUUCAAUGAAUCUGAAAUGCCAUGCCUAAAACAGAAAAAUGAUAAACCAACAGAACCUGGAAAUGAAAACAGUGCUAAGACUGAGGUGAAAUUAACUAGAUUUAAUUCACUCCAACCUGAAGAAGGUGAACUUGAAAUUUCCUUAACACAACAGGAACCUAAACCUAUUGAAUUAAAUGAACCUCAAGCUGAAAAUGAAAUUGAAAUUACUGAUCCCUCAAGUGAAAUUACUUCAAUCCAAGAUUACCAACUUACAAGGGAUAGAGAAAGAAGGGAAAGAAGACCUAACCCAAGAUAUGAGUCUCAGAACUUAACUGAUUUUGCCUUGGUGUCUGGUGAAACUAUUGAACAAACUCAACCUGCUUCUUUUGAAGAAGCUAUGAGUGGUCCAAAAUCAGUUUUGUGGAAAAAGGCAAUGGAAGAAGAGAUGCAAUCCCUAAUGGAAAAUAAAACAUGGAAGUUGGUUAAUAAGCCUAAGGAUCAUAGGAUAGUGCAAUGUAAAUGGAUUUACAAACUCAAAGAAGGGAAUAAUCCUAAUGAUCCUCCUAGGUAUAAAGCCAGAUUAGUGGCUAAGGGGUUUACACAAAAGGAGGGGGUUGACUACAAUGAGAUAUUCUCCCCCGUGAUCAAAUAUACAACAAUUAGACUGAUAUUUGCCCUAGUUGUUCAGCACAAUUGGGAACUAGAACAACUUGAUGUUAAAACUGCCUUCCUACAUGGAGAAUUGGAAGAGAAUAUAUAUAUGUAUUAGCCUCAAGGCUUUGAGGUGAAGGGCAAAGCUAAUUGUGUGUGUAAACUAGAAAAAUCCUUGUAUGGGCUCAAACAAAGCCCAAGACAAUGGUACAAACGUUUUGACUCUUAUGUACUGAAAAUAGGUUUUAAAAGAAGUUAUUAUGAUGCUUGUUUGUACUAUAAUAAUUCUAAGAGGGGACAUGAGGUGUACUUACUGUUGUAUGUGGAUGACAUGCUACUAAGUGGCUCAAGUAAAUCUGAAAUCACUACAAUCAAAAAUCUUUUAAAAUCAGAGUUUGACAUGAAAGAUUUGGGGAGUGCUAAGAAGAUUCUAGGGAUGAUUAUAAGGAGAGAUAGGCUUAAAAAUAAAUUGGUUGUUUCACAGGAAGCCUAUCUAAAUAAAGUUGUAACCAAGUUUGGAAUGAAGGAAUCCAAGUCAACUAGUGUUCCUUUAGCAGCCCACAUGAACCUUUCUAGUGCCCAUUCUCCUAAGGCUGAGGAAGAACGGAGAGAGAUGGAGAACAUACCCUAUGCUAAUGCCAUAGGUUCCAUUAUAUUCUCUAUGAUAACUACAAGACCUGACUUGGCUUAUGCAAUUAGUUUUCUAAGUAGAUUUAUGUCCAAUCCUGGUAAACCACAUUGGGCAGGUUUAAAAUGGUUGUUAAGAUACAUAGUUGGUACUUUAAAUCUAGGCCUUGUGUAUAAGAAAAGGACUGAAAAACUGACCUUAAAAGGGUAUGUGGAUUCGGACUUCGAUGGUGACAAAGAUAACAGAAAAUCAACCACAGCCUACUUUUUUAUACUAGGAGACAAUUGCAUAACAUGGAAGUCUCAACUACAAUCUAUAGUAACAUUAUCCAGCACCGAAGCUGAAUAUGUUGCCAUUACUGAAGCUGUAAAAGAAUGUUUAUGGUUAAAAGGAAUGUUGAAUGAAUUGAACUUCUUGUAUGAUACUCCCACCAUUUUCACAGACAGUCAAAGUGCACUAUUACUAAGUAAGAACCCUGUCUAUCAUGAAAGGUCAAAACAUAUCGAGGUGAAGUAUCAUUUUAUUAGAGAUAAAAUCUCUACAGGUGAAGUUAAUUUGGUUAAAAUACAUACCGAUAGAAAUCCCUCGGGUAUGGGAACAAAAGUUUUAUCUGUUAGUAAGUUUAAGUCCUGUUUAACUAUACUUCAUAUUGACACAGGCUAAUUUCUUUUGCAGGUAUGGGCAAUGAUGAUGAACUGAUUGUUCCUUGUGCAAAUUACGCAACCAGAGAGCCAAGUGUUAUUGAGAACCAAGGUGAAGAAAUGAAAGUGUGUUUCUCAAAACAUUUCCAAAUUAAUGCCAUUCUUGACAAUUGACUUAGCUGCAAAUGAGUUAAAGAAGUCCUUACGUGGCAGUCUCUAAUUGGUUGGUCAAAUGUGCCAAAGAUUAUGUUUCUUGUGGAUGGUGGAGAUUUAUCUUGGUGGAUGAAUGGCUGGGAUUUAACUUGGAAAUUAAUAUGACUUUUGGAGAGAGAAAAAGGACGGGAGAUUUUUUCUCUCUUUGGCUGAGUUACAGAAUUUUUUCCCUUCUCUCUCUCUGGCGAUUUCUUCUCCUCUUUCUGGUUUUACUUUGUUAUACACUUCUCAAUUAAAUCCUGGUUUUAGAUUAGCCCUUGUAAUAUCAUGAUGCUACAGUAACUCGAGGCGUGAUUUUGAGCCUCUGCUAUUUUUCGGUUUAGUUUACUGUUGGCUAGGGCUAAGUGUUGUGAAAAGGAUUUAUGUUUGGUUUCGUAGAUCCUUUGAUCAAAACUUGUGUAUUCUGAGUGGUUUGAUGUAACUUUGGUUCUCUUGGACGGUGAUAAGUGUGUUUUUGCACACUUAUUUGGAUCACAAACAAGUCAUUAACGCAAACAAAAUGAUGAAUUUGAAGCUUAAUUUGGUCAUAAAUGUGAAUUGUAGGAAAAUCGAGGAACAUGAUGAAAUCCUGGAGAAAAACAUGAAAAAGGACCAAAAUGAAGCAAAGCAAAAGUUCAGGGACCAAUAUGCAAAUAUUCAAAAAGUUGACCCGAUGAGCAAAUCAAAAAAUCAACCAAGCCCAAAGCCAAUUAAGAGUGAAUUGAGGUGAUGAAAUGGAAAAAUGAAGACAACCGGGCAAGAAAGGAAAGAAUUUAAAGUUCAGGGACUAAAUUGACACAAGAAGAAAGAAAGUCCUACCAUAACCUCGUGCGGCCGCACGAGGUGAUACCGAAAAUCAGAGGGCCAAAUUUUUAUAACCAUGCGGCCGCAAGGGUUAUAACCAUGCGGCCGCAUGGUUCACUUUCGCAGAAAAAAUUUUGUUUCCUUAUCCGGCCCCGAAUCUUUUUGGUAAUGAUUUUUUUCAUUCUAUAUAUACCCUAAAACACGUCCAGAAUAAGGGUACACGGUUUUGGGAGCAAAGAGGCACACAAUAACAUCAAGAUCCAAGAAUUAAUGCAAGAAGAAGGAGGAUUUCAUCAAGAUUGAAGAUUUCAAACAUCAAUUAUAAUAGGGUGAUGUCUUCUCCUUUAUUCAAUUUUUGUAAUUUUCUUCAAAAUAUGAUAGGCUAAUUUUUUAUUUCAUUGGGAGUCGAUGAACCUUUGAUUUUCUUAUAAAUUCCUAUAUUUCAUGAGUUCAAUAUAAAUUGUCUUUGGAAUAAAUUGUUUGAUUUAUAUUGUUUUGAUUGAAUCCAUGAUUUAUUGGCCAUUUAUUAUGUGAUUGUGAUGGUUUAUUCUUUACAUUCGAAAGAAGUAGAAUAGACUCGAUAUAUAUAAAUUGACAUAGGGUCCAAUAGGGGAUAGAAAUAUACCCCUAUGCUUUAUGCAGUUCGGUAAUUGUUCAUAGAAUUUCAUGCGUUUUUGUAUGUUACAUCAUCCAUAGAAAUAUAGGCUGAUGAUAUGCAGAAAUAGAUCUAAUAUAUAUCGAGAGAGUAUAUUAGAUAGGCGUAGGAACAUUGAAUUGACAAUUUUCCAUUGAUUAAUUGGAUUUGUGAAAUUAGGGUUUAUAGAAAUCAAAUGGGGAUUUGAUAUCCCAAUGAUUUUAUUUCAACUUAUUUCUACAAUUUAAUUUACAACAUUGCAUAUUUACAAUUUAAUUCGUAGUUUGAUUUAUCAAUUUAGUGAAAUUUUGAAAGUAGGGUUCUUGAUUUUGAAAUUCGGGUUUUCAAAUUUGGGGAUUUUCCCCAAAAUUAGGGCUUUUGCAAAAUUAAUCACCUUUCUACUCAAUUGGUAUCGGUUAAGGUCACAAUAGUUAAAUUAGAGUUAAUUCAAUCCUCGUGGGAAAGAUAUUCAGACUCAUAGUCCAUUUUACUACUUUUCACGAUCCGUACACUUGCGGUAGUUUUAAAAUCGAAACAAAUAAAUACGUGAACAGACGACGAUUUGCAUAGUGGAACGGGUUCAGUUCCUGAGCCCCCCAGAUUAGGCCCCGUUUGGCCGAACUGGGUCACCAACUCUGAUGUUCUAUCUGUUUUUCGAUUUUAUUAUGAGCACUUAAUUUUACAGUGUUAGAUUAUAGGUUUUAAUCAUCAGCCUGUAUCCCA
rnacentral:lncRNA from 1 species